CGAAUUGCGAUAUGUCCUGUGAAUUNCAGAAUUCAGUGAAUCAUCGAAUCUUUGAACGCACCUUGCA
rnacentral:rRNA from 1 species